rnacentral:misc_RNA from 1 species
GAAAUGCGAUAAGUAAUGUGAAUUGCAGAAUUCAGUGAAUCAUCGAAUCUUUGAACGCACAUUGCGCCCGGCAGCAAUCUGCCGGGCAUGCCUGUCCGAGCGUCAUUUCUUCCCUCGAGCGCGGUUCGGUCCCUAGGGGCCUGCCGACGCCCGGUGUUGGGGAUCUGCGGGCUUUUACGCCCGCAGGCCCUUAAAUGAAGUGGCGGUCCCGCCGCGGCGCCCCCUGCGUAGUAGUAAAGCACCUCGCAUCGGGUCCCGGCGUAGGCCAGCCGUCGAACCUAUUACUUUUGAUGGUUUGACCUCGGAUCAGGUAGGGAUACCCGCUGAACUUAA